AAAUGGCCAAAUCUGGCCCAACCCGUCACAAACUCGAGGAUCAUCAUAUUAGGGUUCCGGCUUCAGCCGCUCGGCAUCUCACACCUUUCUUCCUAUAUAAAAGCGGGGUUUGAGUUGAACAGAUAUCUCCAAUCCAUCAAAUCUGUGCAUCUCUGCAAGCUUGGCCGCCAUGAAAAUGCAUAAGUUUCCUUCAUGCUGUCUUCUCUGUGUUCUUGUUUCGUUUGUUUUGUUUUACGCUGCAAAUAUUUCGGAACCUGGUGAUGGGAAAGCGGGGUUUGAUUGCGGUGAUUAGAAAAUAUAAUUCCUCGUUCUGAUUGCCUAAUGGCAUGACAGACUAUUUUAUACACCCAUAGAAUCUGAGCAUUCGAUCCCCUCCCUUUCUCCUCUCUGUUUAUCGUUCUUUAUAUUUUGCCUUCCAGCUGUGUUAAUGUUUUUCUAAGUGUCAUUUGAUUCAAAUAUUGGCUUCCGAUGAUGAUGAAAACAAUUAACUUUCGUUCUUCCGAGAUACUCCAUGCGGAAAACUUUUGGAGACCUGAACUGAGGAUGCUAAUAUUUUAAACACCAUCAAUUUGUUUUAAUUUAUUUGGUUAGGUUUUCAGACUCUUUGUAGUUUAAUUUCAGGAUGCAGCUCGUAAUAUUUGGUUGGAAAUUCACCAUUACUUUACAAAGUGUUGCUGAAUUGAAUUUGCAAUGCCUUCGUUGAUUCGAUGGUGUUUAAAGCCCUAAUUCGAUGGAAUGCAUAGUUUCUAUGGAUGGUGGUUACGCACGCCUCCAGAUUCUCUUGAACCUUCAUCCACUCGAUACUACUCUGAGGUUGGUGAUGAUGAUUAAGUAUAAUUGUAGAAGCUAAUUCUAUAGUUAAUCGUCAUCGCCUAUUCUAUAGUUAAUCGUCAUCGCCUAUCUCUUGAGGAAUAUAGAGUUGGAAGAAUGUGAAUUUGUACGCUAAUUCUAUAUCAUCGUUGCUGUUUGAUUUGUUGAAUCCUGAUUAUUUGUGGAAUCCUCCCUGUAGGUCACUGGGAACUGGUUUGGAUCUAUGUCUUUCAACGGCUGAUCUCUUUCCCAACAUUGUAAAGAUUAUUGACAUAGCUCCUCUAGCUUUUCUAAGAGGAGAGUGACAGUUCUGUACUAUAUUCUCCCAAUCUCUAGCCAUGUCUCGAUCCAGAAGAUCCGGAGAUCUGCGGACAAUUCUUUAUGAUGCAACAACAGUUAACUUAACCUUACUGUAUCCCCUAUUCAACUUGGUUUUCGGUAUCUAUAACUUGUCCAAGAUUGUCAUGAGAUGUGGCUUGAACUGAAUUCAUUGUUUAAGGUUUCCAGGAGGAUGCUUGAUUGAAUUCAGUAACAUGAUACGUUUCAACAAAUUCGAAUUUUUUAUCAUCCAUUCGCUCAUAUGAUCCUCAGAACUCCGGCAGAAUAUUCGAAGUGUCAAAUAUCUUACGUCACAGCCUCUGUUUCCAUUGAAUAUCUGGAAAGCAAGGAAUGAGUCUUCAGGAACGCACUUCCACACUUCACCGCACCUCAGUUGGAGCGAACCACCCCCUAUCUCCUACUCCCAUCAAUAACCCUCGUCGACUCUAUUAAUAAUCGAUUACUAAUAGAAAACAAGAUGGCCGAUUGGAUCGUGAAAUCAACUCUAGACAAAUCUAUUCAGGCUUUUGUAGUUACUUUGAUCAUGAUGAUAUGAAAUUAUGUUUUUUCAAAAAAUAAUUAAUUAAACCAAACAUGAUGAUAGUAUCAUGUUACUGAAUUAGUGCACGGAAAUUUGAACCCUAAUUAAUGGAUUGAAAGCAUUAAUCAAACAUUACUUGUUUUUUUAAACAAAUUCUCUAGUAC
rnacentral:lncRNA from 1 species